rnacentral:rRNA from 1 species
UACGAGGGGUCCUAGCGUUGUUCGGAAUCAUUGGGCGUAAAGCGCGCGUAGGUGGCUUCGUAAGUCCGUUGUGAAAGUCAAAGGCUCAACCUUUGAAAGCCGAUGGAUACUGCGGAGCUAGAGUACGGAAGAGGCGAGUGGAAUUCCUGGUGUAGCGGUGGAAUGCGCAGAUAUCAGGAGGAACACCAAUAGCGAAGGCAGCUCGCUGGGACGUUACUGACACUGAGGCGCGAAAGCGUGGGGAGCGAACAGG